ensembl:lncRNA
UGACAUUUUACAAAUUGGAAGUUGAUAGAACUAAUAUUUUUAAAAUUUAUAUUUAAUUCAAAUGAAACAUCAUCAAUUGAACAAAUAAAAAAAAUAUUUUUAUGUUGACUUAGGUAAGAAAAGUAAUCAUAAUACGGAUAUAAUUUUGCACUAUCUAAGUUAUGAAUAACAAAAUAUAAUGGUAUAUUUGAUUGGAUUACUUUUUGUGUUAAUUUAUUUAAUAAAUCAAAAGGUUUCAUAUUUCUAGGUGGUUUAAAUUGAUAAUGAUACUCUAAUAUACGUAUUAAAAUUUCAUUAAAAUUGAUAUCUUCUUCAAAACCUAGAAUAAUACAUUUAUUUCCAUCAUUUAAGCAUAUCGUAGCAAAUAAACUUAAAAUGUGAUAUUUCGAACCUAUUCCAUAUAAACAUAUAUGUAUAUUAUUCAACAAAUAAGCUUUCCAUUUUAUAAAUUGUUUUAUAUUGUAUAAAAAUAAUGAUCUUUUUUCUUUUAUAUGAGUAUAUGGUAAGUUUUUGAUUAAUGUUUUUAAUUUUUCAACAUGAUCUAAUUUUUUUAUAUUUUCUUCAGUUAUAGGAAUAUAUGGUGAUAAAUAUUUGAUUUUGUAAUUAGGCUUUAUAAUUUCUUUUAUAUUUAAAGUAGAAUAAUAAUCGUAAGAUAUUAAUUUUUGUGUUGCGUUAUCUACAAGAUCUUCUAUAUUUUCUUCAUUAUUUUCAAAAUCGUCAUCACCUCGUGUAUUUUUUUUUUUACCUUUUUUUUUUGUCCCUUUUGUAGGACUCGUACUAGCACUAGCACUAGUAUUACUAUAUCCUCCUGGUUGUUGUUUUCUUGUUAUAUCUUCUUCUUGUGAAUAAUUAUCUGUAUCCGAUUUUAUAUCUUCUGAAUAAUCACUACUUCCUUCGAUACCAUACAAACUAGGGUCGUUAUAAAUAUUUAUGUCUGUGUCUUCUUUUGUUAAUUCAUCUUCAUACGAAUCAUAAUCAGUUCCUUUCUUUUUUGAUUUUUUUUUUUUUUUUUUUUUUUUUUUUUUAUUUUUUUUUUUUUUUUUUAAAUUUUUUUUAUUUUUUUCUAAUAAUUUUUUUUUAUUUUUUUCUAACAAUCUCAUAUUUCUCCUUUCUAUUAAUAACCUUCUUUUUUCUUCUAAAAUUUUUUUCAUUUUUUCUCUUUUUUUUUUUUGUUCUAAAUCGAAAGCAUUGGUUAAAAAGUAAGGAAUAAUAUUUGUUUCAUUUAAUUUGUCAUAAUCUAUAUUAAUAAUAUCAUUAACUUUCAUUACAUUACUAUUUUUAUCAGGUAUAUUUUUUUUUAAAAAAUGUUUUAAUUCAUUUUGAAUGUGAUUUUUUAAAAAUUGCAUACUUUCAUUGUUUAUGUUCGAUUCAUAUUUUUCAACAUAUGUUUUUUUAAAUGCUUUAAUAAGUUCAUCAUUCAUAUUUUUAUUGUUACUGUCAUAAUUAUUACCAUAAUAAUCAUUACUAUCUUCAUCAAUAUAUGUUUCGUUAAAUUCUCUGUUUUGUUCUAGUAACAUAGUUAACGAUUUAUUUAGUUUUGUUAUAUCAUAUUCAUAACUGUUAUCAUCAACAUUGGUAUCUGUCAUUUCGUUUGGGUUUGCACUUCCGUCGUCGUUUAAAUUUGCAUUUUCAU